CGCACCGGAUACGCAGAUCGGCCAGAUAGCUUCGUGCAUGGCCGCGGUUCGUAAUUUUGCGAAUGUUGACAUCAUAGCAAACGGUUUUGUGGAAAGGAACAAUUGGGAAUUAACUUCGCUUCUAAGCAGCAUCUGUUCAACUCCAAUUUCUUUACAGGAUUUACCGGCUGCAUUAAUAUGCGGACAGUACACGGCAAAGUCGAGAGUUAACCGCACGUUUUUGGUGGAUCUUCGUACCAUGAUCGUUCCCGCUGGUUGCGAUCUCCAGCUCAGCCUGUAGCUCGCUACCGACAUUUUUUCGGCCAUUACACGCCUGCUGCUGUGGCUUCGUAGCUGUCAAUUCACCCAGCAACUAGCGUUCGUAAUCUUGGAAUGCCAAACUCGUUUUGGUUUCUCUUUCGGGCCUAAAGUGAUUUGUUAAAAGGUAGCCAACGUUAAGUCAGUGUGACGCCGUAAGACUUCACUGGUCGACUUUCGGUAGGUUAAAUCGACUUGGCUGCAUUGUUUUUUCUCCACGGCAAGGUUUUUUCAGCCACCAUCCACCACGGCAGGGUUUUGGACGGCAGGUAUGGCACAGACGAACGGAACGGUGAAUUGUGGUGAACUCAAGUACAAAAUGCUGCACGAAGGUGCGAUACAAGUGUGCCGAAUAAACCACGCGAGCAAUGUGGUGAACAAAAUAAUGAACAUGAAAUUUCUCCGAAGAUGGGAAAUGCAUCAGAUAGUGCUGGGAGAGAGUACUCUGUAUUCAUUAACACCCUCUGGUUUUAUGGAGUACCCGCUGCCGUACUGCAGCAUAACAGACAUCCAUCCGCUGACGCGUUGGGAGGCCGGACAGAGCGCUUGCUUGCGUAUCGUCUUGCACACGGGCUCAAUACUACUGCAGGCGACCAACCUCUACGUUCGUGACCAGUGGCUUCACUCCUUGCAAUGGAAACGCGCAAUCCACAGAUAUAAGAAACUGCUGUGCAAUACCACAAGGCCAGACGUCUUCAUGAAAGAAGUCAAGGCGAUGGUAGACAUGACACUGACAACCUGUGUUCAAGACCAGGCCGUUCAUCAAGUGCCACUGGAAAUUGUCUCGGACAUCCUUUCACAGAAUCGAGAUGUCCUCAACAGUGUGGCCCAAGAUAGCAUUAUCACAGCUGUGGCACCCCUGCUGGAGAACAACCAGCCCUCGCCGGAGAUCUGCGCUUUCUUCAGCAAGCACUGCCGCAACUCACCCCGUUCCAUCGUGGUCCUGGAGAUGUUUAUGCCUGUCAUUCACCGGAUUCUGAAACACAAUAUGGAUUUUGGCAAGAAUCCCAGACUCCAGGGCUUUGUGCGUGAUUUCAUACUGGCUCUCCAGAGCAAGAAUGACAAGGAACAGGCAUUGCAGUCAUUUGUCAACACCAUGCAUGGACCAACAAGCGAAUGUCCCCACCCCCGUGUCCUGCCCAACAUGGUCGCCAUUUGUCUGGCCUCUAUUGCUGUCUAUUUCCAGGAAUGCAAUGGAUGUAGAGUGCAGCCUGACAUCACCAUCGAGGACAGCGACGGUUCUGCUGAUGAUACCGUCCUCCAGGACGAAGACACCAUGAUGUGCUUUGUCACCAUCCUGACCAUGACGGCUGGGUUUGUGGACUGGCUGCCCCAGCUGUCAGGAAUGCUGCUGCCGAUCCCUUUCCCUAAGGCAGCCUUUGAAAACAAGCGGGUGACUGCUGCCCUGAGCACCAUCAUUAGCAAGUUUGCCACGGACGAUCGUUGUGAGGUGCACACAGCGGUGUGCGGCGUGAGGGACGGCAAAGCUGGCUGGCUGGACCUUUUCUGUCCUGGGGGAGCGGCCUGCAAUGAUGAUGGGCAGAUCUUCUCUCAAAUGCUUCAAAAGUUGAUCAGCUGUUGCUGCAGAAGGCGUCGUUUUCUCCUGUCCAUUACUCCGCGGCUCUUCGAACCCAUCCAGCUUUUAGCCCUCAGGAGGAACGCCACCUGCAUAGAGAUGCUGUGCCUGAUGCUGGAGUUGGACAUUCUGCCCGACGAGGAGACCUGCAUGCAGGUGACGCAGACCCUCAAGAGCACCUCGGAAGGCCUGGAGACGUACAAGAAGCUGUGCGAGAAGCAGACCGCCCUCAAACAGCUGCAAGAGAAAGGCGGUCCCCAUGCCUUGUCCCUGCCCUCCAAGUCUACUGACGCCGACGUGGCUCAGCUCUUCAGCUCGGGGCCGCUGGGUAAUCUGGAGUGCCUAAACCUGGCCUUCACCCACGUCACCAGCGGCUGUGCAGAGACCCUAAUCAAGCUGCCCAACCUCAAGACGUUAAACCUCUGGUCCACCCAGUUUGGCGACAGCGGGCUGGAGCUGAUCACGGAGCACAUGCACGGCCUGGAGAGCCUGAACCUGUGCGAGACCCAGGUGACAGACGAGGGGCUGCGCUGCCUGGUGGACCUGAAGAAGCUCAACCACCUCAACCUCAACAGCACCCCGCUGACCGCCCGCACCUGCAAGCUGCUGCUGGGCAACCUGCCAGACCUGAAGACAAUUGACACAAGGUACACAGACGCCUGAGGGGCAAUGUAAUCCAGGGGCCGGAAAGAUUGUUUUCGGAAGGACAUAUCAAAGGAUUCAUCAGUUACCGGCCUGAGUGUCUGUGGGGAAAUUCAUCUGUACAUUACAUUCAACUCAACUGGGCAGAGGUUGGCUGUGUGUUGACAUCAGUGGCUAGUUGAUGGCGCCAGUUGCAGCACAUCAGAAACACACCAGCUAAUCCAUCUGCAUAUGUCUAACAAAGGAAUUAAUAAUUGGCAUACAGUGCAAAAAUGCACAUCAAGAACAUGUUAUCUAUGUUACUUUAGCCCUGUGAAAUUGCAUUUGUCUUAUGCUUUUUUUUCCCCACGGUUCUGACAGAAGGGAUUUGUAGGGUAUAGGCUUUUUUUUUCACGAAUAAUUUAUAUGCUUAAAUGCUGACAAUAUUUUUUGAAUUCCUGCAGCUAGGAACUAAACUGCACAAAAGAGAUAAGAAUGUGGUUGACAUUUUGGAGUAGAAAUGUCCAAAGCACUGAGUUCAAAGGUCAGACUACCAUACUUUUACCUGAGAAUUGAAUUUGAUACAGCUGGUAGCAUUCUGCAGGACAGAUGCUUGGUCAAGCCCAGUUGUUUUGCACCCAGGGGCAGGAGUUACCUCCGUCUUUGUAAAUACACCUGCAGAAAGACUUGGCUGAGUCUAUUGUGGCUGCAGGGGGGGGGGGAGUUGUUAAAGAUUACAGAUGUAGCUGAGCCAGUAUACUUGUUCAACUCGAGACAGUUAAGGGUGAAUUUCUCAGCACUGGUUGGUAGAGAAGAUUUGCUAACCCCAGCGAGAAUAGUUUGCUGAGGUUAAAGUGAUUUCUCAGUGUAGGCUUGCUUGUGACUGCGCACACAUUGAGCCUAGAGAUGCCAAUUGCUGUAGCUCUACUUGAAGCAGACUGUUCCUCUGAAGUACCAGUGUGCUGGUAAAUGUUGGUCUCAAAAGAAGAUUGUUAGAUUAGUAGCUUCAUGAAAUCAGGCCCAGUCACUGGAACAGGGGUGUGAGAAUUCAGCUUUUUUUUUGUUUAGAUGUUGAGCCCGAAUUUCAGCUUUUUUGUACACCUGGCCUGUACAAAAGUAAUAAAAUUUUUUGUUACAUUUCAGCUUUUUGCUAGCAUUUUUCAGCUCUGAUUUUAACUAGCCACUCACACCCCUGCUAGAUGUAUCAUUUCAGGGUAAGUGGUCUGUUUUUGUUGCCGCUAACUGGCAGCUUCAGGUUCAAUCUACCAACAGGGGUCAGUAAAACAGGUGCAAACCUCAUGAAAUAUCCAGCUUAGCAAUGCAGACUCAUGCGGGCCUUGUUCAUAUGUACAAUAUGGCUAUUAUCUGAAUCAUUGGCAUCCUGCAGAUGUUUAAUACUCUGGAAGAUUGUACUCUUAAGAAUGAAAAGAAACAUAAUUUUUUUUUGGUUUUUGAUUUGUUGGUUUUUUGAUAAAGUUAGCUGUCUUAAUCUUACCGAGCAUUGAAAUAUUGAUUUUGGUUUCAGAAAGCAAUACUGGCACUCCAGCAGACAGAUAGUCUUUUAAUAUUUCACUGUUGAUUAGUGAAUGAAAUAAUUUUGUGCGGAGUCGUCUUUGUAAACUGCUUGUGACAGUGCAAAAAUAGGAACUCCGAAAUGACAACUGUAAAAGCAAAUUGCCAUGGCUUGUGCUUAAAGCGCUUCACCAUUUUGGAGUUUCUUGCUGUUGAUGUCAACAUCAACAAACUCUGGUCUUAUAGUAGACAGAAAAUUUGGUUAAACUUUAAGAAAUCCGGCUUGUGGAGCACAAGCUGUGGUUGUAAGAGCUGACAGGAGUAUAAAGUGGUUGUAAAUAGAGUGUCAGUCGAUUCCUUUGAUCAAAGAUAUCAGUGGAAUAGGGACAGCAACAAACACAGCUGGGUUGGCCAGAAGAUUCGUGAGAAAUUUGCGCAGGUUUGCGUCGGUCAGGAAGCCUGUGAAGCAGAUAUAUGUACACACAUGCCAGUCUUCAUGCCAGAUCCUUUGAAAUCCCAUCAAGUGGUUUUUCGCAGGAUUUGGGAAAGUACAACUGGUCCUUUGUUGCUUUGCAAGGGCCUUGGUAUUGCUUGAGAUUUUAAGCACAAAGAAAGUAAAAUAAUCGCUUCGUGUACUGUCUAGUGUUUUGGAGGAUCGGCUGCCUCAAUGGUGGUCAAUGAACUGUGAAGAUGUCAUGACAGCUUGAAAGUUUGACCUCUGACAUGGUUCCACGUUUAAUUCUGAGUCUGGCUUAUUAGACUAAAGGAAAAGAAGUGACAAAGUAUUAACUAUUCUCUUUUCAGAGCUGUAAGAUUGUUGAACAUCAAUAGCAGCAUUACCAUCUCCUUAAAAAUAGAGAAAUCCCUUCAAAUGUUCUUGUUUUUCCCCUUGAAGGGAGAAGGCUGGUUUGGGAAAGGGGAACAUUUUGUAAUUAAUCAUUUUUCCCAUUUGUUUGUUUGUUUGAUACAUUAUUAAAUAUUAAGUGGAUGAGUGUGUAACAAAUCUUUUGAUAUGCCAUCUGUGAUCUACUUUAUUGAGGACACUGUAGAUCAGCAAGGCUUUGUGAUCAGCUGUGCAUUUGUGCAUGGCGGUGAAAGGGUUAACCUUUCGUACGCGUAUUUAGAUAGGCCAUUUAACAAAACACAAGAUGUGUAUGUAAUCUAAUUAUCAGCUCACGAACUAGCCGUUGGCAGAGUGGAUACGAACAUGCGAUUAACUUUCUCAAAUGAGAAAGGCGAUCACAGGGUCCUGUCACAGUUUACGAGGGGAUCCACUUUGACAGAGGGAUAGCAACAUUGAGACGAGACUUUUGAGAGCGCGCUCAGCGCAGGAAAAUUGAAUGGUGUGUUUUUACACGGCAUGGCAAUGACAGUCCUAUGGUGGGAACUCAUUGCCUGGGUGCACAAGUUCAUGUACAGGACACACUGAGCAUGAUCGACCAAUUUUUAUUGAAUGGUCCAGUCUUUGCUUGUGUGCUGGGCACGUGCAUGCACCCAGUUUGAGCUGUUGAAGGAUACCUCUCAUCAGAACAGAUAGCCUGUGACUUGAUUGAAUACUUCGUGAUUGACUUGGGAUCGCUCACAACUCUCGUCAUUGAGUAGACCUAAAAUAUAACAUCCCACUUUUCUCCGUGGUGACUGGAUGGACCACGCCCCACCUCAUUGCCAUAAGAGUGGGCAUGUGUAUAAAGCGUCUUGUCAUUCUGUUCUACAUCUAUUUUGAUGGGUUGGGAUUGUAGGCAAUGAGGGUGGGGACAGGGAACAUGUGUGUACUUUCUGAAGCUUUGCAUAUGAUCUGCAGUAGCUACAUGUAAUGCUCGGUGUACAAAAAAGUGAGCAAACAUGCAGUCUGUAUGUUAAAUGAUUGACUAGGGAUAAACAAAUUAUCUACAUUUUGUAAGAGCAGUUUUCAAUGUUAUUUGAUAUCUUGAUCUCAUGAUGAAAGACCAUUAAUUCUGAACUAAAUUUAAUAUGUACACAUAGUAUUACAUUGAUAGGGGAGUAACUUUCCAACAUCAUAUGUAGUAAUCAUGGAAUAAUGAAAUGUUUAAAUGGUGAUUGUGACUUCUGUGUUGGCUUCACACAUUGGAAACCAAUUUUUUGCAGUUGCUAUAGAGUAGAUUUAUGCGUUACUUGUAAUAUUAAAUGAUGUGAAAUUAAGAGGUAAGAAGAUGAAAAAAACUCUAAAUGUUUUGAUGAAAGGUUAAGGGCAUAAAUCUUGUCGGUCAUGAAACAGACAGUGCGGGGUAACCAAAAAAAAAUCAAAAAUAAAAAAAAUCAGAACAAAAACAAAAAUGAACAGAAAAAAAGUAUAUUAAAAAGGUAAUGACACAGGUGCCUUGAUAUAAACAUGCACCUUACUGUUAAAGAAAAAAUCAAUUUAAAAAUUGAAAUGUGUAAUAUUAAUAUUGUGAAGUGUUUUAUGGUAUUUCAGUAUUAUGUCUGCUUGGAAUUGGUAUUGCAUACACUAUAUUUUUCCUUUUUUAGGGUGUGAGGAAAUCGUUUCUGUAGCUGCAUAGGUUUAAUUUGGGCAGCAUUUGUAAUUUGAAACAUCACCAAGGUCUGUGUAGGACCGAGUAUCUAUAUAAAAUAUAUCACCGGUGUUGUAUUUCAUGCACAAGUGGUUUUGAUUAGAAAAAUUUUGAUUAAAUCUUCAACUUGCAAACGCGAACAAAUUUUGAGACAUUUUAAAACAAAAUCUGGUGUAAUCAUAUUGAGAACUUGAGAUGUGGAUGCCAUUUUUCGGAGACGUAUCAAGACAUUGUUGGAAUGGUAGAUGUUAAUUAUUACGUGUGUGUGUCAAAACAAAAAUAAGUAUGGAGAAUACUUUUUGAAGAAAAAAUGACUCAAAAUGAAUUGGUGCUAAAUUGUGACGUUCUUGAUGGGCAGUUGUUUAAAAAAAAAUGUGCAUUGCAUUGAAAUGUCUGUACCAUUGCUGGUUGCUGCUACGUGGAUGUUGCUAAACCUCCUGAAGGAUAAUCCGCGGGGUGGGGGUUGUGGAAAUCUGUAUUUUAAUAAAGGGCCCAUGCGAUGACUUUUUUCUUAAGACACUUUCUGUGACUCCUUACACUCUUCUUCAGUAUAUAGAAACUAUCUGACAUCCUUUUAGGGUUAUAGAUGUAUGAAAAGUGCACUUUUUAAGCAUUUGAAAAAUGAUGCAAGGCUCUCUGGACAACUGAGGGCGCUGUUACCAUGAUGUUAUUUUAGUGUGACACGAAGUUUUAUUUUAUUUGUUUCUCUAUUUCAGUUGUGAAUCCAAAACUGUUAACUCCUUCGAAAGAAUUGCUCGUUGACAUAUUGUUGUGUACUUACACGACAACAAAUCACCCAAGAAAAGUAAAUUUGGGACAGCAAAAUGUAAAAAUUCUGGCAUUUGUCAUACACAAAUAAGUACUACAUUGGGGAUUUAUAUCCAUGGAGUGACACUGUACAAAGUCUUGUAAAGAUUGGAAUUUCCUCAUUUUUCAUUAAAGUCCAAGUUCCAUGCCUGUUAAAAGAAAAACAGCGAACCAGAAAGAGAAAAUGGGGUUAAUUGAAACAACGGUAAAAUAAUUGCACUUCCGGAACCCUUUAAACAGGUUUCCGUGAUGUAGAGUUAAAAAAAAAAUUGUGAUCUUAAAAUUAUAACAUGAAUUUAGUUUCAACUCAAGGCUAGUGGUUCUGAGGAUUAUUAUCGGCCAAGGGCUUAUCUUUACUCGGAACAAUCAACGGGAGAGGUUUUUACUCUUGUGACUUUUUUUUAGUACCUAGUUUCCCAAACAAGGUGACCUAGUGAAAUAGAAAAAUAAUUGUAAUUUUAAAUUUUGAUUCUACAUUAAUAUAUACACAAUACUUGAAUAUUUUUGGAACAGUUAAAAGUAAAUGCUAUAUGUUUAUAGAAAAUAUCAUCUGUACCUUUAAGAUAAAACAACUCAAAAAACACAAAAGGAUAAAAAAAAUCUGCUCUUUGUAGUAAUGAUUUUGUUUACAGUUUUCCAUGUUAUUUCUGUGCACAUAAUUUAUGAAGAGUAAUCAAACUUGGGGUAAAGGAAAAUAUCAGACAUUACAUCACCAUUUUGUCCUAUUUUCCUUUGAUUUAGGGCCAUUGGAACUAGCUUUCCUGUAAAGUAACCUGCUUUUUACUCAUUUGAUCUCCGGAUCCAACAAGCACGAGUGUUUGUCUAGGUUUGCUCUCCGGAAGUGUGGUUGCACUUGCAAAUCCAAAGCUUGCCCAUGCAACCUUUCUUUCCUGUAACCUUGUGGGGACAUGCUGCCAAUGGCUGAACCCAUGUUGUCGCAAGAUAACAGGUGAAAAUAGCAAAAACUAGCUGAACCCAUGUUGUUGCAAGAUAACAGGUGAAAAUAGCAAAAACUAGCCAAGUUUUUACUGUUCUCUUUGUGUACAUUUACCAGUUUAAAUGGCCUGAACAAGUAUUUCCAGAAAAACAAAGAAAACAAAUCUAGUCAGUUGGCAUGCUGGCUUUGAAGAUUACUUGUAGCUAGCGUAACUUAUUUGGGCAAAAAUUGUAAGUACUGAAAUAGAGACUUUGCUUAAGUUAAGGAAGUCAGCUUUUUUUUUCCUUCUUUUUCGCCUCUUUUCUUUUUGUAAUGAACUCACAAAUGAAUGUUGUAACUUCAGCUGCAAAGAAAAGAAUUGAUCUUGUUACUGAAUAACAUACCAACAAGUAGCAGAGAACUCAACAUAAAAAUUUCAUAAAAGAUCCCAUAAUAAUGAGGUGAACCAA
rnacentral:misc_RNA from 1 species